rnacentral:misc_RNA from 1 species
GCAAACUUGGUCAUUUAGAGGAAGUAAAAGUCGUAACAAGGUCUCCGUUGGUGAACCAGCGGAGGGAUCAUUACUGAGUCUCCGACUCCCAAACCACUGUGAACAUACCCGAGAAAUCGCAUGCUCCGGCGCGGCCGCCCCUGGGAGGGGCGCUGGCCGCGAGGCGCCCGCCGGAGCUGAGCUCGCAAAGUCUGCCGUUACAGGUCUUCUGAGUGGCAUCGCGAAAUAGCGUAACAACUUUCAACAAUGGAUCUCUUGGCUCCGGCAUCGAUGAAGAACGCAGC